CCGGCCUUAGCUCAGUUGGAAGAGCAUCAGACUGUAAUUGGCUUACGUAAACAUACAUCUGGGUGUCGCCUGUUCGAACCAGGCAGGCCGGA